AACCCCAAUAAAUGAUGGUGGCAUCCGUUA
rnacentral:piRNA from 1 species